rnacentral:lncRNA from 1 species
GCUUCUUAACCAACUCCUCCAAUUUAUCAAAUUUAGCAAACUUAGCUUCGUUAGCUGCACAUUUCUACGUCAAUUUCACAAUUUGCUUUUUCAUCGCUUUCAUUUCUUCCACAGUUUGCAAAGUAGAAGAGGAACUGGGAAACAGCGAAGGAAUACUCGAGGAUUGGAGAUCUCCUGUCCUGUAGGUUCUACCUUUCUUUGGACCACCUACCACAGCUGGCCACAUACUAUUCAUCUCUUCAGGUGAUGGUUAGACCAUGGUACCAUCCUCUGAAGUAGGUUGGAUUUGACGCUACUCUUCUAUGCUUUUUUGAAAUUCUUCCAAAAAUAAAAAUUAUUGUCAGUACGUAAACAAGCAAAUUUGAGUAAUAAUAAAAUAAUGUAAAAGUUAUUAUCUUACAUAUGCAAUCCUAGCACUCGGUUCGACCCAAUCUCCUCUUGUACCGUCCUUGUUUUUCUUCCUAUGCGUCUCUUCGUAGAUCACAAGAAAAGGGCGCUCUUUUCCACCAUUUUCAUAUUCCCACAAAAUUUUAUAUUAAACAUUUCAUGUAAAGAGUAACUAGAUGUAGAAAGAAGAAACUAAAGCUUGGAUUUGUCCCAUUGAUAAAAUUCAAAAUCUUCCCUUAGUACAGUUUAUUAUCUUACAUAAUCUAUAUACUUCAGAAAAAUAUUUAAUGUAUUGCUCUGGCGCAAGUAGGACAGUAUAACAAUUGUAAUAAUGCAGAGACAAAGUUAUGGUAGCUAAAAUUCCAGUGAUUCAAGAAUCAUGACUUUAACAUCUGAAGAACCCAGUUCAAUAAUGAGCAUAAUGCUUUGACUUAACUUGUCCUAGUUUUGUACAAAUCAUCCAUGAAAUAGCACUUGAUGCUGCUAUAUAUCCAAUAUCAACUCAAAAUGCUCUUCCAUUUUCAAUUACUGUUUAUAUCUACAAGGUUUGUAACUAUUUAUCAUUAUACAACUUCUAUUAUUUUCAUCAAUGUAAGUCACAACAACAACAGCAACAACAACAAACCCAGUGUAUUCCCACAGCGUGGGGUCUGGGGAGGGUAAGAUGUACGCAGUCCAUACUGCUACCUCCGAAGAAGUAGAGAGGCUAUUUUCGAUAGACCCCCAGCUCAAGAUAAAGGAUAAUAAACAAGGGGAAGGAUGACAUAAUCAAAAGAAAGAAUAGGAAAUAAUAGAAUAAAAUCACAGAAAUAUGAAAUACAACGGUUAUCAGAAACAAUCUAAGCAAAAAAAGAAGAAGUCUGAUGUCCAAAGAUACUAGUAUAACAUUAUAGUUGUGGUACAGGUAAAAGUGAGACAGUUUUUUGUAAGGAAAAAAAAUCCUUGUGCUAGUGUAGUCUAUCUUAUUUGGUGAAUCCACUCAAUUUUUUUUCCAUUAAAACAACAAAUGUACAUGGGUAAUAGAAGCUUGAUAGAGUUUAACAAGUCAACUUAGUUCAGUUUGAGAAAUGAAAACUCAUGGUGGUAGAAUGUUUAAAGGAACUUUAAAAAAAGAUUCAUAUCAAUUGAAAUAUUUGGAAGGGCUUAAACAUCUAGACAGCAGAAAAUUAAGUUUGAAGGGCUGGAAAAAUUUCAGUGGAACACAAGAGAGGGUUUUGGAGGACGGUGGCCCUAUUCCUGAUAACAUUUCAAGUAAAACCAUAAUAGGGCUACAAUACAACAAAAAUCACAAUGGCUAUUGCUCAGUGUUCCCUCUCUACAUAAUCAUUCAAAGUGAAAUUACUAAGUCGAUUUAGUCCUUACCUGAAAAACAAUGGGGAUAACAGACCAUGAAGGUGAGUCAAUAUAUCUUGCAUACUGCUCUGAACCUUCUUCCUCAAGCUCGCUGUUGGAUAACUAGUCCUCCGCAUUGGCAAAGAAACUGACUUUUCUCCUACUCGAACUUCUCAGCACCUUUAGAUUUGCAAGCUUGAAAUGAUGUGACCUAACAACCUGUGAUGGAAGAAGAGCAAAGCAAGGGAAAAAAGAAAAAAAAAGGGGACAAAGUUACAGCAAGUCAUCCUACAGAAGUCUAGUGUUCAUUUUGAGGAACUUGCUAUUAUUAGCACAACAAGAAUGACUUAAAGUUUCAAAUAAUAAUUUACUUCACCAAGAGUCACGAAACGAACCAAAUACUAACAUUUGCCACAUUCUCCAUCUUACAAAAAGAAUAAGAGAUUCAAGGGAGGAAAUACAACUUUAACUUUUUUUCCGUCUGGAUAAAGGAAAUGCAACUUAAAACAUAUAUCAGAUAAUAAAGAGAGAAAUUGUUCAAUUGCAUCAUAAAGAAGAAUUUUAAUUUUGAGAUAACUUUCUAAUUUUACUAACUACCUUUAGCAUUUAUUAGACGUUCGGGAACAAAUCUCUGCAUGCAGAAUACUCUUGGUCUUGUACUCACCUGGAUGGUAAGGCAUGGAAUCAAACAAGCACUCUACAAGAGAUUACACAGAUCACCACAUAAUGGUGCUAGAGUAAAAGAUCAAAAAAAUGCAUUUUAACUUAAGUAUGCCAAUCGUAAAGAGUCCUUCAAGAACCCAAAAGGACAAAAAGAACCAUCUGAUCAUUUGACUGAGGAUAAUUCAGCUCAGUGCUUCCAGUGUCCACAUAAAGACUAAAGAGACGUGCUAAUAAUAUUAUAUGUCUUAUAGGUAACCUAGGUCGAACAACAUCAUAUUAUUAGAUUAUAUUAGAUUGAUUAUAUUAGAUUAUUAUCUUAUUUUUCUAGUUUUCAUGUAACUUAGAUUUGUUAUGUAGAGUUGGAAGAACUUUCUUAUAUUAUCUAGUCACUUAAAAGGAUAUUUACAGAUAGAUCUCAUUCAUAUGUGAAAUUUAGAGAGAGCAUCCAACACCUCCGAAAAUAUUAUCAAAAUGCAGCAGAAACCUUCAUAAGAACAUAACUGAACCAGGGAGGUAGCGUUCUCAGUGAGUUGCUGCCUUCUGGGUUAUAAGAACAAAGAUUCAUACAAUCAGAAUAAGGAUUAUCAUACCAAUGCACAUACAGACAAAGGGACCCUCACUUACAGAUAGAGGAAAUUUGCAUUCAUCUUGAAUGUAACAAACCAUUUCAUUUAGCCUUGGCAAGGAAAGAAACCAAAAGUUCAUAGUACUACUCUUCAGAUGAUCUGUAUUCCUAAAAAAAAAAUCCUAAUUAAGCAUUAAUGGAGGCAGAUAGAGGGAGAAAACUAAUCAAGGUUCCAGAAAGUUUCCUAGUAUUAGACUAAUAGCUGCACAGCGUUACUACCUGUAGCCUUCAAGAACUCCCCCUUACAAACCGCAUCCCCUACUACAUAUGUCAUUCCAUAUUUGUUAUUCCAAUUCAUUUUUGCAGCUUGUUCAGUGUCAUUCUAGUUGCCAAAGUAUUUCCAACCACCACUGGCUUCCUGAACCAAGAUCGAGUUCACAACAAAAGAAACAAGCAACAACAAGAACCACAAGAUAUCAACAACAAUGCUAGUAAAUUGAAAUAGGCCACAUACGGCUUCACUAGACUUCAAGAUGAACAACAAUAAGAAGAUAUCAACAAUAGUGAAUCAAAAGAGCCCCACACGACUUCACUAUGUCACAGUUUAGAACAUUGAACUAAAUCGAACAAAUCAGAAAUUAAAGCUAAUAUUACCCGUCUUUGUCGGUGGGUAGCGAAACUCAUUGAACCUCCCGUGUACAAUGAGCCGCCCGUUUGAGACGCUCUAUUUUUCUUUGCCCAUUCUCUCCUCGCCCUAUAUUCAGGAGCAUCCCAUAUUACAGCUACAGAAUAAUCAAUCAAUGUCUCCUCAAUCACAAAACAUAGUACAUGAAGCCCAUUCAAGAAUAAUCAAUCAAUGAUCCCUUCAUCAUGAAUACUCCAUACCCAUUCAAGCAUAUUUAUUAAAGGACAUAAAUCGAACAUAUAGCGAGCAUAUAAAAGUAAGGUAGAAAACUAUAACAGAUAUUUACAGAACUAAAACCUACAAUAAUAGUAAGGUAGAAAAUGAAGAAACAAAAAAAACUGAAAGAAUCUUAUGCUUUAUCAAUCGUCAAACAAUAGAUAUUGCUUAGUUAGAUCCAGAAACUAGUAAACCAACAGCUUAUUGUGCAAAUUCCAGAAACUAGAAAAUCAGUGCGCGAAAUACCAGAAACCCAAAAACAGAAAUUCAGUAUGCGAAUUUCAUAUCAACUUUUUUUAUCGAAAAUUAGACAGAAAUUGAAAAUGGAUAAGAAGACUUCUAAGAAUGACGACGAGGCUUCGCGAAAAGGCUUCGAGACAGAAAUUCACACCUCGAGGCAUCUUCCAACUUAGAAAUAUUGCAGUCACCGGCGCCGUUAAGAAUCCACCAAGGCCGUCGUCAUCGCCGUUACCACUCGACCAACGCCUUCAUCGUUGUGGCUGUGGUUGCCCUAGCUUAGAGAGAGAGGAGGGUUAGAGAGUGAGAGAG